UUCUUUUUUUUUGUUCUCUGCAAUUCCUUGUUCCCGCAAUCUUUGGGUUCGAACUUCAAACUGUACUCCAUCAUCUUCUUCUACAUUGUUCUGCUUCUCGCAUGGAUCCUUUGUCUGCUCUCCGAGACUUCACCGUACGAGGCGAGGUGGACAAUAUCGUUCAAGUCGGUGACGAAUUCCGAUUCGGCAACGACUACAUCUUCCCCUGCAGAGCCAAGACUGAGUGUCGAUCCAAGCAUGGGUCAUUUUGUUCUUGGCUAAUUUAAGUACACUCAGGCAAGAGAAACAAUCUUCUAGGAUUAAAUGUGUGUUGAACGUAUGCAGUUAUUGGGUUUUACAUACGUUUUGAGGAUGACUGUGUUGAGUCAGCAAACAUGGUGAAACAGUGGAAUGUCAACAUCCUCUUGAUUAGCUAGAACAAGAGACACCAUGACAGAGCUGCAGCUCUUGAGGUAUGGGACAGGUUGGAAGAAUUCAUGCGGUCACGGUCUUGGUCACAUACUUGAAGUGUCAAAUUUAAUUUAUAGAAAAGCAUCGGGGAGUGCCAGUGCCUGGGUCUUGUUGAUGUUGAUUCCCAACGAAGAGCCUCCACCGCUGAGGACCUGGCAGAGACACUGUGGUUGUGACUUCACAACACUGGCAAGCUGAGAGCAGCAUGAGGAAGAUGGA